GGGUGGAGCACAACGUCGAAAGCAGCCGUUGGGAGCCCAGGAGGCGGGGCGCCUGUGGGAGCCGUGGAGGGAACUUUCCCAGUCCCCGAGGCGGAUCCGGUGUUGCAUCCUUGGAGCGAGCUGAGAGCUCGAGUACAGAACCUGCUAAGGCCAUCAAACCUAUUGAUCGGAAGUCAGUCCAUCAGAUUUGCUCUGGGCCGGUGGUACCGAGUCUAAGCACUGCGGUGAAGGAGUUAGUAGAAAACAGUCUGGAUGCUGGUGCCACUAAUAUUGAUCUAAAGCUUAAGGACUAUGGAGUGGAUCUCAUUGAAGUUUCAGGCAAUGGAUGUGGGGUAGAAGAAGAAAACUUCGAAGGCUUAAUCCUUACUUUAUACUCUCUUUCAGCUCUGAAACAUCACACAUCUAAGAUUCAAGAGUUUGCCGACCUACCUCAGGUUGAAACUUUUGGCUUUCGGGGGGAAGCUCUGAGCUCACUUUGUGCACUGAGUGAUGUCACCAUUUCUACCUGCCAUGUAUCGGCGAAGGUUGGGACUCGACUGGUGUUUGAUCACUAUGGGAAAAUCAUCCAGAAAACCCCCUACCCCCACCCCAGAGGGAUGACAGUCAGUGUGAAGCAGUUAUUUUCUACGCUACCUGUGCACCAUAAAGAAUUUCAAAGGAAUAUUAAGAAGAAACGUGCCUGCUUCCCCUUCGCCUUCUGCCGUGAUUGUCAGUUUCCUGAGGCCUCCCCAGCCAUGCUUCCUGUACAGCCUGCAGAACUGACUCCUAGAAGUACCCCACCCCACCCCUGCUCCUUGGAGGACAACGUGAUCACUGUAUUCAGCUCUGUCAAGAAUGGUCCAGGUUCUUCUAGAUGAUCUGCACAAAUGGCUCCUCUCCUCCUUCCUGAUGUCUGCCAUUAGCACUGGAAUAAAGUUCCUGCUGAAAAUCCA
rnacentral:lncRNA from 1 species